CGUAACUCUGGGAUAAGCCUGGGAAACUGGGUCUAAUACCGGAUAUGACUCCUCAUCGCAUGGUGGGGGGUGGAAAGCUUUAUUGUGGUUUUGGAUGGACUCGCGGCCUAUCAGCUUGUUGGUGAGGUAAUGGCUUACCAAGGCGACGACGGGUAGCCGGCCUGAGAGGGUGACCGGCCACACUGGGACUGAGACACGGCCCAAACUCCUACGGGAGGCAGCAGUGGGGAAUAUUGCACAAUGGGCGCAAGCCUGAUGCAGCGACGCCGCGUGAGGGAUGACGGCCUUCGGGUUGUAAACCUCUUUCAGUAGGGAAGAAGCGAAAGUGACGGUACCUGCAGAAAAAGCGCCGGCUAACUACGUGCCAGCAGCCGCGGUAAUACGUAGGGCGCAAGCGUUAUCCGGAAUUAUUGGGCGUAAAGAGCUCGUAGGCGGUUUGUCGCGUCUGCCGUGAAAGUCCGGGGCUCAACUCCGGAUCUGCGGUGGGUACGGGCAGACUAGAGUGAUGUAGGGGAGACUGGAAUUCCUGGUGUAGCGGUGAAAUGCGCAGAUAUCAGGAGGAACACCGAUGGCGAAGGCAGGUCUCUGG
rnacentral:rRNA from 1 species